UGCACAUGGAUAGAAAAAAAAUUAGAGGAAACUGAUCAGCACCAUUUAUAGCACAAGAGGUUUUUUUGUACAGUAAAGCAUUUGUAUUCAGACUAUUCUUUAAGCAGGAAAUAUUUAUUUGUUAAAGGAGAACACUUUUGCUAAUUCUAAUCUUCCAUGAGCUAAAGUGAAAUAUUUAGUUGAAUUUUAUUAAUGUCAUAACAAGCCUUUGUACUACCUGAAACACAUUGGAUAAUUUAUUGUAAAGUUAGGAAGUAAUUAGGUUAUUGGCAUUAUGCCAAUCACCCUAUUUUAUUAUCUUAGCUUUGGAUCUUGUGAAGAAGCUGUUAGUAGUGGAUCCAAAUAAACGACUUACAACGGAACAAGCCUUAGAACAUCCCUGGCUUCAGGAUGAAAGUAUGAAGAGCACAUUUCAACAACUAUUCACACAAACAAGAGUCUCUAUGCAUCCACCGCAGACAUCAAAACUGCCAACAACCGCAGCCAGAAAACGUCCCCAUGAAAAAGAGGAGGAAUCUGUCUCUUCUAAGCAUGCUGUUCCUUCUACAUCAUUUCAGGAAAAAAAAGUGGAAGAAAGUAAACUGUCUUGAAUUUUUGUUUUUGUCUAUGGUUUAUACAGAUUUUUAUAAGAUUUUUUUCUAUUAAUCAUGGAAUAAUUGUUCAGUACUAAUCACUGAUUAAUAAAAAUAACUUUGUAAGAAUGGA